UUCGUAAAUAAAUAUUUGAGUAUAAAAAUUUAGGAUCAAAAUUAAAGUUCAAUAAACAAUUUCAAAUUCUUUCUAUUAGAUAGAGAAGUAUAAGAUUCAAUUUUAGGAUAAAAAAAAUCUAUCUCUAAAUAUUUUGAAUCUAAAAUUGAAAAUCAAGGGUCCACUCAUUCUAGAAUUUGGAUGCUAAAUAUUUUCUUAGCAUAGU
rnacentral:lncRNA from 1 species